CCUGUGUGAAAAUUGAGCUAAAAUUGUUAGUAGGGAUUGUAGCAGUUGUAGAAUGUGCUGAAAAAAUAACCUAGCAAAGAGGACAGAAAUUUCCUAUAACAAAGGGUUAAUGGAACGGCAACAUAAUAUUUGGAGAGGUGGCCGAAUGACACUAGUUUUUUGAGUCCCAGACCCCUAUGUGGGCUAAGGAACACAAUCCUGUAGGUUACAUGACGGAGCACAAAUGUCAACAUGGCCGACCCGCUCAAGGAAGUGAACAUGUCCAUGCAAAGUAUUGAGCACUGAAACAACCAUAACACGUUGUGAUUAUAACGUUUUGCUUAGGAAACAUGUGGUUAAGAGUUUGGUGUGCCUUGGUCGCCGCUCAGCUCGGUUUUGGAGCUUAUGGUGUGAUCGUCACAAAGUUUGCCAAGGACAGCAAAGCAGAUCCUCUGGUGUUUUGCCUGUUGCGUGACGCGGGAGCCUUUCCCGUUAUGUUGUUGACAGCGUUUCUCGUCGAGGGAAAAGUUAGCAUGCCUUCUCUGAGAAGUGUCCCGCUAUUGAUGGUCCUGGGACUUACAGGUAUGUUUGUUGGGCAACUGCUCUACCUCCUUGGAAUCUACUUAACAAAUGCAAAUGUGGCGUCCAUGUUUCAACCAGCAGUUCCUGUUUGGAGUACCUUUCUGGCCAUGAUAUCUGGAGUAGAGCCUCCUCCAAAGCUAACAAGGUCGCAUGGUGCGGCCAAAAUUCUUGGUAUACUUUUAGCAGUUACUGGAGCUGUCAUAAUGACACUUGGAAAACUGAGAAGUAAUUCCAGAGAGGAAUCUUGGUUAGUGAGUGGUACAUCUGUUGGCAGUCAGUUUCUUGGAUGUAUGUGUUUACUUGGCCAGACAUCAGCCACAGCUGUGUAUUACAUCAUUCAGAAGAAGUACAUAUUUAACCAACCCUAUUCGACAUGGAAAACUCAGCCCAUGGCUGUCACUGCUUGGAGCUACUUCUUUGGGGCAAUUUUUAUGGCCCUUGCCUCCUUAACCUAUGCUAACCAGCCAGAGAAGUUUACAAGUUUUUCCAUGGAAGCCUUUUAUUGUUUAGUGUAUGCAAUUUUGAUUACCUCGUCAAUGUGUUAUUUACUUCUCUCAUGGUGUAACAUGCAGGUGCCAUCAACCAUUGUCACAGCCUCCUGGCCUCUUCAAGGGUUAUUCUGUGCAGUACUGUCAUUCAUAUUUCUGGGAAGGUCAUUGCAGCUGUUGGAGUGUUUUGGUGGUGGUUUCAUAGUGUGUGGACUUGCAGCAGUUUUGUGGUCAAACUACAAGGAGGAGAAAGAAUCAAAUGUUCAAGACAAUGAAAAGGAUGCAAAAGAUAUCAUGACUUACCAUAAUUCGAACUGGAAAUUCUCAGAAGCUGUUUCUCAGGGUUAUGUGGUGGUCCCAAAAGAUGAUGACUAACUUGAUAUACCGGUACAUUUAACUAUACCUUUAACUUGAUAUACAUUUAACUAAAAAUUCUGCUUCCAGUAUUGUGACUGAAAAUAUACAUUUUGAAAAGGUUUCUUUAUCCAACCUGUUUCUGUGUAUAAUUUCUAAAUUUGGUGGCUUCUGUCGAUCUUCAUCAGAGCUACAAUGUACAUGUACAUGUACAACUGCCACAAGAGGCUCUUCUUGGAGUCAUGGGACUCCACUGUGGACAGUGAUGUUGUUAACAAGAUGAAACCACACCCUCAUGCUUACACACUGUUGAUUCAAAAUUUGAACAAAAAGACAGCACACAGGCUUGUACACUGUAGCACAAGCAGUAAUGAACCUUUUUACAUUGUAGCUCUGAUGAAGGUGGACAAAUGCCGCUGAAAAUUUGGAACACAAAAACACAGAUAAAAUUAAGAAAACUUUUCAAAUAGUAAAACAUGGAAUAUACUCUGCAUUUGUUUCUGUUUAAGUUCUGUCAGAUCAUUGUGUCCUUAUUGUACCCACUAGAACUCUAUGUUCUAAUGCAGUUGUAAAUACAGUGGAACCUCCUGUAAGCUGGGGAGGUGUUUGCUAUUGCGAGGUUAAAAAAUACUUCUCUACAUAACCAAAUGGUUGAUUAUAUUUAAUACAAGCAAGAAAAGUGUUGUGUUGGUUGGUAGGUUAGUUUGGAUGAAUGGCAAAUGGAGAAAAACAUUUUAUCUGUGGUCCAGUAGUAUGGAUAGUACAUGUGUAUUUAUGUGGUUCAUUAUCCAGAGGCUAAAAAAGGACAUUUAUCAGGUUGGUGGAUAUAGUUAGUCCGAUGUUUACAAUGUAGCACAAAAACUGGAAAUUUCAUUUUAUACAUGAAUGCAUACAUGUAUAUCUCUAAUUCAAAUGUCAGUGUUAAGGGGAAAUAAAAGUAACUAAAAGCCA
rnacentral:misc_RNA from 1 species